rnacentral:rRNA from 1 species
GACGAACCGGAGCGAACGUUAUUCGGAAUCACUGGGCUUAAAGGGCGCGUAGGCGGCUUGGCAAGUGGAUGGUGAAAGUCCCUCGGCUUAACCGAGGAGCUGCCGUCCAAACUGCUUAGCUUGAGACCGGGAGAGGUGAGUGGAAUUCCCAGUGUAGCGGUGAAAUGCGUAGAUAUUGGGAGGAACACCAGUGGCGAAGGCGGCUCACUGGACCGGUACUGACGCUGAGGCGCGAAAGCGUGGGGAGCAAACGGG